GACGAACGCUGGCGGCGUGCUUAACACAUGCAAGUCGAGCGGUAAGGCCCUUCGGGGUACACGAGCGGCGAACGGGUGAGUAACACGUGGGUGACCUGCCCUUAGCUCUGGGAUAAGCCUGGGAAACUGGGUCUAAUACCGGAUAUGACCUCAUGACGCAUGUUGUGGGGUGGAAAGCCUUGUGCGGCUAGGGAUGGGCCCGCGGCCUAUCAGCUUGUUGGUGGGGUGAUGGCCUACCAAGGCGACGACGGGUAGCCGGCCUGAGAGGGCGACCGGCCACACUGGGACUGAGACACGGCCCAGACUCCUACGGGAGGCAGCAGGUGGGGAAUCUUGCGCAAGUGGGACGAAAGCCUGACGCAGCGACGCCGCGUGAGGGAU
rnacentral:rRNA from 1 species